GUAGAUGGGCACUCCAGUAAAAAUGACAUCCACACACUGUUGAAGGUUCUCACUCUGUCACCCAGGCUGGAAUGCAAUGGCGUAAUCUUGGCUCACUGCAACCUCCGCCUCCUGGGUUCAAGUGAUUCUCGUGCCUCAGCCUCCCGAGUAAAUGGGAUUACAGGAUCUUAAUUCAUAUCUUGAAGAUAAAGUCUACCUUACAGGGUAUAACUUUACAUUAGCAGAUAUACUAUUGUACUAUGGACUUCAUCGCUUUAUAGUGAGUAUUUGUAUAGUUACUGGCUUUUUUUCUGUAGUGUUGAGAAUGAUUUUUAAAACUUUGUCUUGAAUUUAAAUCAGAUUUGCAUUUUUGGCUUAUCAAAUAAAAAUGAAAGGAAUUCCUUUAUACAAGGUGCCUUUUGUAACAAACCUGCACGUUGUGCACAUGUACCCUAAAACUUAAAGUAUAAUAAUAAUAAAA
rnacentral:lncRNA from 10 species